rnacentral:lncRNA from 1 species
UCGUUUCUCAUUUUAUCAGCCUACUAGUAUCCAUGGGGAUCCAUAGGGGUGUCCCUGCUACACGUGAACCUUUUUCAUUAACAAUCUUAAUUUUAGGGCCAUCCCAUAUCCCAUCUGGUAUGAGCACUAAGACAUUAAACCUCAAUACCCCGUCCGGUAUGAGGGUGAAGUGGGCCGUCCCCAUACCCCGUCCGGUAUGAGCGCCAAAUGACCAAGUCUCCAUACCCCGUCUGAUAUGACACAACAUUCACGGUAGGGUUCCCUAUGAACCGGGUCCGUCCACCAUCUCCUAGGAUAUCUAGUGAGACUGUCACCUUAUCUGUUUAUUAGAUCACAUCCCUUUCCUGUUUAUUCUAAAUCUACGUUACCAA